rnacentral:rRNA from 1 species
AUGCAUGACACUCUCCCUGUCCCCCAAGCAAGAGAAUUGAACGGAGUAGAGGUUUUCCUCCAAAGGCCUGAACUUUGCCUGCUGCGCUAUGUCCCAUGCCGAUCUCAUGUUUUUGAAGAACCAUGUCUGGCUAUAGGUCUUACUAGCAAAAGAGCCCGUGCGUUGCAACGGGGUAACAAAAUUGUGUUUCGCCACUUAUCACAAUUGCUCCAUCUCACCAUUGUCAUCAACCUAUUCAUCUUUCUGCCCUUUUGCAAGUUUUCUUCCGUCCUUCUGCAAGUUUUAUUAUGUACACGGCCUUGUGGUUUCCAUCAUCAUACUGAGCAAAGGCCAGUUAGAAAAGAGAGGUGGAGGUCAAGGCCUACUCUGAGUGCCAUCUUAAUAACUGCAACCUUGAUCUGUUUUACUUUCCUUGUCAGCAAAAUUAAUGAUUUUUAUUUGCUUGUAUGUGUGUUAUAUAACCAAAUGCUCCUUGUGGAGCUAGUGUCCACAUCCCUUGAUGGUAAUCAUUAUAGCUGCAAUAGAAGGCUGUGA